rnacentral:rRNA from 1 species
CCUACGGGCGGCAGCAGUGAGGAAUAUUGGUCAAUGGGCGCAAGCCUGAACCAGCCAAGUAGCGUGAGGGAUGACUGCCCUACGGGUUGUAAACUUCUUUUAUAAGGGAAUAAAGUGCGGCACGUGUGCCUUUUUGUAUGUACUUUAUGAAUAAGGAUCGGCUAACUCCGUGCCAGCAGCCGCGGUAAUCCGGAGGAUCCGAGCGUUAUCCGGAUUUAUUGGGUUUAAAGGGAGCGUAGACGGGUUGUUAAGUCAGUUGUGAAAGUUUGCGGCUCAACCGUAAAAUUGCAAUUGAAACUGGGAGUCUUGAGUAUAGUUGAGGUAGGCGGAAUGCGUGGUGUAGCGGUGAAAUGCUUAGAUAUCACGAAGAACCCCGAUUGCGAAGGCAGCCUACCAAACCGUAACUGACACUGAUGCUCGAAAGCGUGGGUAUCAAACAGGAUUAGAUACCCUUGUAGUC